CUGUGGGAGUGGAAGCUCCUUGUCCUGGGGCUGGGUCUCUGCUGACAAAGCCGUGGAGGUAUCAUGAGACAGCCUGGAACUGCUGGGUUGCAAUAUCCCCGGUGUUCAGUAGGUGUCGCUGUAACACAGGGUGAACAUGACCCAGUCCUGAAAUUCUUCCAGGUCCCUGAUCUCCAGUCUGCACACAGCCUACUCUUUAGGAAAGUCCCACAACCUUCAUGGGAUAUCUUCAAUCCAUGAGUGGAACAAGAAGUCCCUCUCUCGUUUGCCGGUGAAUGAAAGCCCCCAGAUCACAGGGGGCUCCUGUCCCACACAGCUCCUUGGAAAGUCAAGAGCUAUGGAUUCCCUGGAAUCUACCCUCAAAGCAAAUAAGGCCCUCAUCCCUCUGUUUCCCAAACAAGUAGCUGUAUUGUCCCUGGCUGUGGGUGCCAUUUUGUUUUCCUCAUAAACUGGGUAGUUCCAGGACAAAAGUGAUAUGGGGAGAAACAGACAUUUUCCAAACAGCACCUGCAUCAUCCGGUCUAAAAAUAAAUCCAGUAGGACUGGUUUUAGGAGUGAAGCCACUGCUAAAAAUAAUGCUUACACGUACGAUGACAUCAGCAGGUAACUGACCUGGGAACUGCAGGGCCCCAGCAUCUAACCGACAUCUUGAGUUCUGGUCUGCUUUGUGAGGUGAUCAAUCUGUCUUCACCCUCCGCCCACCUGGCCUUCAUUUCAGGAGCCCAGGGCUGGGCCCGCUAAAUUCAAGGAAAGGGGCUGGCAGAACAUAGGGAAGCUCUGGAUUUAGAGCUUUCAUUAAAAAAUAAUAUGGACUUUCUAUUUCAAGAACAGAACGUCUAAUAAUGCUGCUGAGGAGAAGCUCUCCAGGACCUGCUUUGAUGGUAAAUACAAAUGGUUUUAAUUAGCAUAUUAAUAGCGGUUUGAUUUCUAAGGCCGUAGGAAAGCAUCUCUCCAGCCUCUACAAUACUAUCUGCUUGGAGGUAAUUACAGAACAGAGACAGAGCACCAGAGGGCGGAAGCCUGCUCUCCCAGUUCUGCCUCCAACCAGCCUGCAGCCAAGUUUCUGGUCAAGAACACGGAGGCGUGGAGGCUGAUCCCCCCCACUCGCACCCAUUUUAGCCCUAACCUUUCCAUGGUCUGACGACCUGAGUCCCCAAAAGUGAAAACAGAGCAUUUCAGACCCAAAAGAACCCAAGGCCCAGCAGAGAGGGCCUCACACGAAUAAGGAUCGACGCUCUAUGAACGAGUCCCAGGCCAACUUUGGCAACUCACAAGAGCAUCACUGAUUUUUAAAGAACGCUCCAAACCUGAUAUUCCCGGCAACCAGCCAGCA